CCAUGAAUAUGCCACAAGCAAAUAACUUAAAAUAAUAUACGCGAUACACAAGAGACGAGCACAAACCGAAUACGACAGAUUCAUGGCAGAAGAAGAAGUGCACGCAGUAUUCUCUGAAUCCUGUGAACUUCCUGCUGACAGCAAUGCGCUCAACAGGAAGUGGCUGCACAGAUGGAACAGGUGUGGCGUCUAGGCGCCGUCCUUGCGUUGCUAGGGCUUUUUGUACAAAUCAGCACUUGGAUACACAAAGGCCGGUGCGAAGCUGAUGCCAGUCCAAAAAAAAUAGGGUAAUUGUCAGGAAGCAGGAGGAUGAGCAUUCGCCACAGUGUAUGGAAGGAGGGCGGGCGUGAUCCCAGACUGAGUCGUAGAGUGGUGCCCAGCAAGGGGUCUAAGUCAUCCCACCCCCAAAAAAACCCCUCUGCUCACUUACUCCCCUCAGGAGGUCACCACACUGCACCCCCUCGCAAACAAGUGCUCACUCCAUGUGCC